rnacentral:rRNA from 1 species
AGCGAACGCUGGCGGCAGGCCUAACACAUGCAAGUCGAACGGGCCCUUCGGAGCUAGUGGCGGGCGGGUGAGUAACACGUGGGAACGUGCCUUUAGGGUCGGAAUAAGCCCGGGAAACUGGGUCUAAUACCGAAUGUGCCCUUCGGGGGAAAGAUUUAUCGCCUUUAGAGCGGCCCGCGUCUGAUUAGCUAGUUGGUGAGGUAAUGGCUCACCAAGGCGACGAUCAGUAGCUGGUCUGAGAGGAUGACCAGCCACAUUGGGACGUGAGACACGGCCCAAACUCCUACGGGAGGCAGCAGUGGGGAAUCUUGCGCAAUGGGCGAAAGCCUGACGCAACCAUGCCGCGUGGAUGAUGAAGGUCUUAGGAUUGUAAAAUCCUUUCACCGGUGAAGAUAAUGACUGUAGCCGGAGAAGAAGCCCCGGCUAACUUCGUGCCAGCAGCCGCCGUAAGAC